UACGUAGGCAGCAAGCGUUGUUCGGAAUUACUGGGCGUAAAGAGUGUGUAGGCUGUGCUCUAAGUCUGGUGUGAAAUCUCCUGGCUUAACUGGGAGGGUGCGCCGGAAACUGGGGUGCUGGAGUAUGGGAGAGGCAAGCGGAAUUCCUGGUGUAGCGGUGAAAUGCGUAGAUAUCAGGAGGAACACCUGUGGUGUAGACAGCUUGCUGGACCAUUACUGACGCUGAGACACGAAAGCGUGGGUAGCAAACAGG
rnacentral:rRNA from 1 species